AGUAGUGUAUCAAGAGCCUGUGUAUGGCAAUAAAUUACUACAGGGUGGUUAUGCUGCAUACCGCUAUGCCCAGCCUACCCCCGCCACUGCAGCUGCCUACAGUGACAGAAAUCAGUUCGUCUUCGUUGCAACAGAUGAAAUUUCUUGUAACACCUCUGCAGGUAACAGACAUUGCUACUUCUUGAUGC